rnacentral:lncRNA from 1 species
ACUUGUGCCCAGAGUUUGAUUUUCCACAGACCAGGUAGAGGCCAAGAGCCUCUCACAGACUCUGCAGCAGGGUUGCUAUGAUUAACUCUUAAGUACUCCACAACUACACGCUUUUGAAACUGGCGUUGGCAUAGCGUUAGUUCUGUGCAGGGCGGACGCAGCAGGACAGAAUCUCCCUGGGCAUCUUUUCGGAGCAUCAAUUUUACUGCAAAAUUUUGAAAAAACAAAUUUAAUUGAUUUCCAAGGUUUGUCAAGGAGGACAGAAACUCAGAGCACCCUGCACUUGGGGAUCGGCACUAGGAGCUGCUCUCUGGAUGGGGAGAUGGGAGCUAGCAGCUCACAAUGGGGUCACAAGACAGGAGUGUUAUUGGGAGAAUCCUGUUUUGUUGACAAAUACUGAGAUCAUCCAACUCACCAGGCAAAGUUGACUUGUGUAAGUGAUCUUCAGAUAUGAAAAGUGUGGAACCCAGCUGCUCCUCCUCAGAUAGGCGACAUGACAAUUGUAGGCCUGGAGGGAGAUGAGUUGACAACAUCCCUUCCCUAUAACCACUUGUUGGAUCUGAUCUCACAUACACAGACUCACUCCAAAGACUGACCUGGGUGUCUGCUUCUCAGCUUCAUUAACAGUGGGUGCUCACAAGUCUAGUGGAGAGAAUGUCUGAGAAGAGGAGGACCUUGACUGCUCCUGAACCGGAGACCUCAGUAGUAACAGGAUCUUCUACACUGUAGCUGCUUCCAGUGUGAGCCAGACAAAUGUACUGAAUAUAGGCCUCAGAGGUGAUCCCACCACCUUCACAGCAAUGGUCCUUCCCCAGGAGCUUCCCCUGAGAAACGGGCCAUCCAGACCAUACUGCUGCUGAAUAAUGUCUCAUUGGAAAUCUCAACAUUCUUCAUUUAGAACACCACCGCCAAUAUCUACCAUAUGCCGGGAUUAUUGUGCAGGGUAAUUUUUAUUAUUACUUGAAUGUAUAUUUAUAUACUGCAGGAACUAUACAUGUUUAUGGCUAGAAUUACUGUUUUUCCUUAAUAUUAAGAUAGUAUUGGUAGAUUUAAUUAUCUGAAUUUAGUCAUUUGGCUCCAGUCAAAAUGGUUUCUCCUUAGCAGUACUCUGACUUUGUAAAAGUAAUCACAUUUGGAUUCUGUUUCCUCCAGUAGUUUUUAAAAUGAUUUUUUUGAUUAUUCAUAUAACUUUUUUUUAAUGAUCUUUUAAAAACUAGUAUGUGGUUAUAUAUUACUUGUUACACUUUUUGUUUUCUUUAUUUUUUGGUUGGUUACACCUUAAAUGAUUAUUUCUAUUGCCUUUUAAUGUUACUUAGAAAAUAUCACAUGUAAGACUUUUGCUUUUAUAAAGUUAGUAAUACAUUUUCAAGCCUAAACUCUUGAAAUUUUAAUAAUUUCUAUGAUAUUUGAAAAUUAUUUUUAUCUUCUUUUGAGUGCUAAAAGAUAAUAUUUGUCUACCUGAUUAACUAGCACAACUUUUAAAAAGUUAUUUAGCACUCUUUAUAUUCAUUCAUUUGUUUU